rnacentral:lncRNA from 1 species
CCUUGCUUCCCACCUAAAACUAUGGCUUCUCCCACUAAAGGACAGCCCUUUGCUUCCCAUCAUGCCACCCCGCCCCUGCCCCACCAAGAGAGUAACCUGGUACUUGCUACCUGCUGGUGACUAGUGAUGUGAUGACACAAGCCCCUCCUAGUGAUAUCACAAGCUCCCCCAAUCCCUAACCACUACAUCACUCAAUCCCACCCCAGCCCUAUCAGAAGUGCUCCCUGUCUCGGCCAUAUUGCUUUCUCUCCUUUGAUCAGAGAUGAUCCAGCAGGUUGUCAUUGCCAUAAAGGCUUGUAGUGGUUCUGGUCUGGUCUUGGCUUUCAGCCUCUUUUACCUGACAACGCAUAUAUAUGAACCACCAUCCAUUGUCCCCUCAGAAUCCCUGUUAUUAUUAUUUCCAGCUCAUCAGUUUCCACCUACCAAUGAUGCAGUCCUUAAGGCAUGCAGAACUCAGCAUAAACUUUCAGGAAGGGAAGAGGAAGAGGAAAGUGGAACACACGAAACAUGUACCAGGUGGAAAGGAGAUGAAGCGAGAAGUAAAAUGGUGAGAUUCUUCUAGUGUGAAUAUAUGCUGUCAAACCUGAACUACUGGGUUGGGAUGUCACCCUCCCUCAUCUGACCUGUUCUGGACUGGAGGGAGACUCGCACGCUGAGCUCUUUCUGUUACCCCAAGGACUAGUUUACAAGGACUAUCUGAGGUGUGCUGUGGACUCUUGACCUCAAUAUCUCCAUUC